UACGAAGGGGGCUAGCGUUGCUCGGAAUCACUGGGCGUAAAGCGCACGUAGGCGGAUCUUUAAGUCAGGGGUGAAAUCCCAAGGCUCAACCUUGGAACUGCCUUUGAUACUGGGGAUCUCGAGUCCGGAAGAGGUGAGUGGAACUGCGAGUGUAGAGGUGAAAUUCGUAGAUAUUCGCAAGAACACCGGUGGCGAAGGCGGCUACCUGGCCCGUAAUUGACGCUGAGGCGCGAAAGCGUGGGGAGCAAACAGG
rnacentral:rRNA from 1 species